GUCGAACGAUGAAACUUAAAGGAUUUCUUCGGAAAUGAAUUUAAGCGGAUUAGUGGCGGACGGGUGAGUAACGCGUGAGUAACCUGCCUUACACAAGGGGAUAGCCUCUGGAAACGGAGAAUAAUACCCUAUAAAACCAUCAAAUCGCAUGAAGUGAUGGUCAAAGUGUUAGCGGUGUAAGAUGGACUUGCGUCUGAUUAGCUAGUUGGUGAGAAAAAAGCCCUCCAAGGCAACGAUCAGUAGCCGGCUUGAGAGAGUGUACGGCCACAUUGGGACUGAGACACGGCCCAGACUCCUACGGGAGGCAGCAGUGGGGAAUUUUGCACAAUGGGGGAAACCCUGAUGCAGCGACGCCGCGUGAUUUAGAAGGCCUUCGGGUUGUAAAAAUCUUUUGUAUAGGAAGAAAAUGACAGUACUAUACGAAUAAGGUCCGGCUAAUUACGUGCCAGCAGCCGCGGUAAUACGUAAGGACCGAGCGUUGUCCGGAAUCAUUGGGCGUAAAGGGUACGUAGGCGGGUUUUUAAGUUAGAAGUCAAAGGCUAUAGCUCAACUAUAGUAAGCUUCUAAAACUGGAAACCUUGAGAGAUGGAAGGGAAAGUGGAAUUCCUAGUGUAGCGGUGGAAUGCGCAGAUAUUAGGAGGAAUACCGGUGGCGAAGGCGACUUUCUGGCCAUUUUC
rnacentral:rRNA from 2 species